AUUGAACGCUGGCGGCAGGCCUAACACAUGCCAGUCGAACGGUAACAGGAAGCAGCUUGCUGCUUCGCUGACGAGUGGCGGACGGGUGAGUAAUGUCUGGGAAGCUGCCUGAUGGAGGGGGAUAACUACUGGAAACGGUAGCUAAUACCGCAUAAUGUCGCAAGACCAAAGAGGGGGACCUUCGGGCCUCUGGCCAUCGGAUGUGCCCAGAUGGGAUUAGCUUGUUGGUGGGGUAACGGCUCACCAAGGCGACGAUCCCUAGCUGGUCUGAGAGGAUGACCAGCCACACUGGAACUGAGACACGGUCCAGACUCCUACGGGAGGCAGCAGUGGGGAAUAUUGGACAAUGGGCGCAAGCCUGAUGCAGCCAGGCCGCGUGUAUGAAGAAGGCCUUCGGGUUGUAAAGUACUUUCAGCGGGGAGGAAGGGAGUAAAGUUAAUACCUUUGCUCAUUGACGUUACCCGCAGAAGAAGCACCGGCUAACUACGUG
rnacentral:rRNA from 1 species